rnacentral:rRNA from 1 species
CCUACGGGAGGCAGCAGUGAGGAAUAUUGGUCAAUGGGCGCGAGCCUGAACCAGCCAAGUAGCGUGAAGGAUGACUGCCCUACGGGUUGUAAACUUCUUUUAUAAAGGAAUAAAGUGAGGCACGUGUGCCUUUUUGUAUGUACUUUAUGAAUAAGGAUCGGCUAACUCCGUGCCAGCAGCCGCGGUAAUACGGGGGAUCCGAGCGUUAUCCGGAUUGAUUGGGUUUAAAGUGUGCGUAGGCGGCCGUUUAAGUCAGCGGUGAAAUGCUGUGGCUCAACCAUAGAAUUGCCGUUGAAACUGGGAGGCUUGGGGAUGUUGGAGGUAGGGGGAAUUCGUGGUGUAGCGGUGAAAUGCUUAGAUAUCACGAAGAACUCCGAUUGCGAAGGCAGCGUACUAAACUGCCACUGACAUUGAUGCUCGAAAGUGUGGGUAUCAAAAAGGAUUAGAUACCUUGUAGUC